CCUCUGUUGGCUCUCCAGGUGGUCAAAUAAAGGUGCAGAAAAGCAAACAGCCCUUUGCCCAGCACUCCUUCUUUAAUAAAUCACUGCUUAGUUCCUGUAGAAGAUUCCAGACUUUGGAAAUACUCACUGGAAAUUUACCCUAAUUAUCUAUUUAAAAAUGGCUUUCUAAACAGAGUGCUGAGAUAAGAUGGCCCAUCUCCGUGUUUAAGCAUUUCUAAAGUCUCGUUUGUUUAUCAACACGCCCACAAGCUAUGAAGCUACUAAGUUGAUCUUUGAACAACAUGAGUUUGACCUGCAUGGAUCCACAUAUACGUGAAUUUCCUUCCGCCUCUACCACUCCUGAGACAGCGAGACAAACCUCUCCUCUUCCUCUUCCUCUUCCUCCUCAGCCUACUCAGUGUGAAGACCUUUAUGAUGAUCCAUGUCCACUGAAUGAAUAGACCUCACGAAGCCAGACCGUAAGAUCUACAGGGGCUCUCAGACACCACCCCAUCCAACAGCUCGAAGAAGGAACCAGAGAAGACUAGAAACAGGAUGGAACGGGAAGGUGGAGGGAGAGGCGAAGGGGAAGUCUCGAUGCUGACUACAAGGCCCCCUCAUCCUCCGGCCUCCGGCUUGCAGGGACUGCCCCUGCCUUGGGAGAGUCCUCACAGGCCACACCUGCCACUGGGCCAGGCCCAGAGCAGACACUCACGACAGAUGAUAAGAAUGACAGCUGCCUGCGUUUGAGCAGGCACUCUAGGUGACUGUUGUACACAGUGCUUUUCAAGCAUAAUCUACCCUAACCUUCACACCAGCCCUGUGGGGUAGGUGAAUCUCACCCCAUCUUACAGAGGAGGAAACAGGGGUUUGGAGUGGUUGAGUGACUUGCUGUCAGACAAGUCUAAAUCUGACAGCAACGCCUGUGUUUGGAUCCCAUGCCAGAGACUGCGAGCUAGCCCCAGGCUGGUUCCAGGCUGUACACAGGUUUCACUUGAUUCACACACAUGGGGCCUCCUCAGAGUUUUAAAUUUUAUUUGUUGUCAACAUUUAGCAAUCAGAAGAGUUAACAUUAAAUCUCACAUUUCUGAAUUCUCUAGAAAAAUUAGGACAUCAGGCUCCACUGGGCUUAUGUUUCCUCCUGGGAAUAAUUGGCUGAGCUGGGUAGCAGCUGACCCCUUUACAUCAGACUCUUCUGCCUUGUUUGCCCCAGCCCUCACCACUCCCUAUUGUACCUCCAACACCAAAGACAAGAAUCAAAGGCCACUUUUCACCCCCUUCCUGGUCCACUCCAUUCACUCAUGGUAUCCACGUAGCCCUGUGAGCAGGGGUUUGUGACUCUGCCACUAAGCUAUAUGGCUUCAUGGAUGGAUGGAUGAGGGGAGGGAAAGACAGAAGGAUGGGAAGGGCUGGGGAGAUUUCAGCUGCCUGCUCAGGAAGUACCUAUGGACAAUGCCCAGCAUCCUACAGCCAGCUCACCAACCCCUAACUGUGCUGCAGGACUGCAGGAUGCCUGUCCUGACAAGUUGGCCUGCUCAUCCUCUUCCCCCGAAACCCAGGCCCUGAGAGUCCCCAGCAGCAUGAAGGCCUCACCCUUCGUGCAGCGAUCCAUCGGUCACCACCUAGGGCAGAGCAGGCCCACCUUUGAUGCAGAAGAAAUGAGAUGAGGCGGGCAAGUGCCUGCCAGUGCCCAGUACAAGGUGGGAAGUCAGGGAAUCGUGAGCAUCAGAGAGGCCACGUGAGCAGUUGCCAUGCUGGCCCCUGAUGCUGGGGUGGGAGG
rnacentral:lncRNA from 1 species